UUAACUAUUAUAUAGUACUCAGACGACAUUAUUAAACAGAGUUUAGGGUCCUCUGGCGAGCACUCACCAGCGUGAGCCGGUGGCCGAAGCGGCUCGCCAAAGCAACAAAGGUAUAAUUAACAUAGGGUUGGAGAGUCACCCUUGCGGGCGAGUUUCUCUGUAAUGAUCCCUCCGCAGGUUCACCUACGGAGA
rnacentral:misc_RNA from 1 species